AUACGUAGGGAGCGAGCGUUGUCCGGAAUUACUGGGUGUAAAGGGAGCGUAGGCGGGACGGUAAGUUAGGUGUGAAAUCUAUGGGCUUAACCCAUAGACUGCACUUAAAACUGCUGUUCUUGAGUGAAGUAGAGGUUGGCGGAAUUCCUAGUGUGGCGGUGAAAUGCGUAGAUAUUAGGAGGAACAUCAGUGGCGAAGGCGGCCAACUGGGCUUUUACUGACGCUGAGGCUCGAAAGCGUGGGGAGC
rnacentral:rRNA from 1 species